rnacentral:rRNA from 1 species
UACGAAGGGGGGCUAGCGUUGCUCGGAAUCACUGGGCGUAAAGCGCACGUAGGCGGAUUGUUAAGUCAGGGGUGAAAUCCUGGAGCUCAACUCCAGAACUGCCUUUGAUACUGGCGAUCUCGAGUCCGGGAGAGGUGAGUGGAACUGCGAGUGUAGAGGUGAAAUUCGUAGAUAUUCGCAAGAACACCGGUGGCGAAGGCGGCUCACUCGGCCCGGUAUGACGCUGAGGUGCGAA